GAUGAACGCUAGCGGCGUGCCUAAUACAUGCAAGUCGAGCGAACAGACGAGGAGCUUGCUCCUCGCACGUUACCGGGGGAAGGGUGAUUAACACGUGCAUAACCUACCUAUAAGACGGGCAUAACUUCGGGAAACCGAAUACAAUACCCGAUAAUAGAUGGAACCGCAUGGUUCAAUAGUGCAAGCCCUUUUUGAUGGCCCUUAUACAGGGACCCUCGACGCAUUAGCUAGUUGGUAAGGUAACGGCUUACCAUAGCAACGUUGGUUAGCCGACCUGAGAGGGUGAUCGUCCACACUUGAACUGAGACACGGGCCAGCAUCCUACGGGACGCACCAGUAGGGAAUCUUCCGCAAUGGGCGAAAGCCUGACGGACCAACGCCUCGUGAGUGAUGAAGGUCUUCGGAUUGUAAAGCUCUGUUAGUAGGGAAGAAACAAUUUGUAAGUAAACACGGACGUAUUGACGGUACCUAAUGAGAAAGCAACGGCUAACUACGUG
rnacentral:rRNA from 1 species